rnacentral:lncRNA from 1 species
GGAAAAAGGAAGCUGAAGGGCACUUGGGCUCAUAAUGGUCUCUCCAACCCUGAUCCUGUCCUUUAUGGACAUUUGGCAGCGCUGCUGCCUUGAGGUGCCUUGCAAUGCUUUAUCUUUUUGUUAAAGCCACCUCUGUUGCUUCAGCCAGCUUGAGCGGUUUUCUGUUACUUGCUAGUGGUUGGGAAGGCUUAGCCGACGAAGGGAAAAUGAGUCAGGUCCUGAAGGAUGAGCAAGUUACGGGAGUGGGCCGCAUGGUGAGGGAGUGGACUUCCUGAUGGGGUUAAGGGCGCCUGAACACCUGGGAGGCAAGUUGAGGCCAAGACCUGGGGUGAUGGAGAGGCAGGGUAGGCUACCCAGUGAGUAGGAGGCCGAAGGAACCACAGCAGGGCUCCAGAUCUCCUGGCCCAGAGGGGCUGGUACGGGAAGCCCAGAAGACACUCAUCCCUAAGGGGAGCCUGAGACUGAGGAACUCUCAUGCCCUGCGUCGGGCUCGUGGGCGAAGGGCCUUCCCAGGGACUGCACCAUGGCCUGUCCCCAGCCUUACCCAGGGGCCUCCCUCUCAGGUUCUGAAGGACCCAGGGGUCACAGCUGUGUGGGGUGCUCCACUGAACACUUCCUUCAAACUCCUUCAGGCUGGAGUGCAGUGGCGCGAUCUCAGCUCCAUGGGAGAGAGUUUGAAAGGAUGAAGAGUUUACAUCCUCUGGAAAGAAGCAAAUAGAAGGCAUUCCAGGCAAAAGGAACUGCAUCGAGUAAAAGCAUGGAGGCAAGAAAGGGCUUGGUGUGUUUGAGAAACAGUGAGUAGGGCAUGGUGGUGGCAGAAGCUUAAAGUGUAUGGCCCGUGGACAGUGACAGCCGGACAAGAAGCUGAAGUGACAGAACAAGUUGAACCAAAG